CCUACGGGUGGCAGCAGUGAGGAAUAUUGGUCAAUGGACGAGAGUCUGAACCAGCCAAGUAGCGUGAAGGAUGACUGCCCUAUGGGUUGUAAACUUCUUUUAUAUGGGAAUAAAACGUUCCACGUGUGGGAUUUUGUAUGUACCAUAUGAAUAAGGAUCGGCUAACUCCGUGCCAGCAGCCGCGGUAAUACGGAGGAUCCGAGCGUUAUCCGGAUUUAUUGGGUGUAAAGGGAGCGUAGGUGGAUUGUUAAGUCAGUUGUGAAAGUUUGCGGCUCAACCGUAAAAUUGCAGUUGAAACUGGCAGUCUUGAGUACAGUAGAGGUGGGCGGAAUUCGGGGUGUAGCGGUGAAAUGCUUAGAUAUCACGAAGAACUCCGAUUGCGAAGGCAGUUCACUGGACUGCAACUGACACUGAGGCUCGAAAGUGUGGGUAUCAAACAGGAUUAGAUACCUAGUAGUC
rnacentral:rRNA from 1 species